GAUGAAGAACGCAGCAAAAUGCGAUAAGUAGUGUGAAUUGCAGAAUUCAGUGAAUCAUCGAAUCUUUGAACGCACAUUGCGCCCCCUGGAAUUCCGGGGGGCAUGCCUGUUCGAGCGUCUCAGGGACGAACCCUCGCGCGGGUGUACGCGCGGUCGUGGCUGCGGUGGCGUGCCCGAGGCGGCGGCCACCGCGCUGGAAUCCAUGGGCGGACGCCUGCCGCGUGGCCGAGCGUGAUAUGACGCAUUGGCGCUCGCACGCGGAGAGGCUGCCAGCCCUGGCCCGUCUGUCGGGCGGGGGAGAGCAAGACACGUGAACUCCUCGAAUCAGGUAGGGAUACCCGCUGAACUUAAGCAUAUCAAUAAGCGGAGGA
rnacentral:misc_RNA from 1 species